UACGAAGGGGGCUAGCGUUGCUCGGAAUCACUGGGCGUAAAGGGUGCGUAGGCGGGUCUUUAAGUCAGAGGUGAAAUCCUGGAGCUCAACUCCAGAACUGCCUUUGAUACUGAAGAUCUUGAGUUCGGGAGAGGUGAGUGGAACUGCGAGUGUAGAGGUGAAAUUCGUAGAUAUUCGCAAGAACACCAGUGGCGAAGGCGGCUCACUGGACCGGUACUGACGCUGAUGCGCGAAAGCGUGGGGAGCAAACAGG
rnacentral:rRNA from 1 species